rnacentral:rRNA from 1 species
GGUUAAGCGACUAAGCGUACACGGUGGAUGCCCUGGCAGUCAGAGGCGAUGAAGGACGUGCUAAUCUGCGAUAAGCGUCGGUAAGGUGAUAUGAACCGUUAUAACCGGCGAUUUCCGAAUGGGGAAACCCAGUGUGUUUCGACACACUAUCAUUAACUGAAUCCAUAGGUUAAUGAGGCGAACCGGGGGAACUGAAACAUCUAAGUACCCCGAGGAAAAGAAAUCAACCGAGAUUCCCCCAGUAGCGGCGAGCGAACGGGGAGGAGCCCAGAGCCUGAAUCAGUGUGUGUGUUAGUGGAAGCGUCUGGAAAGGCGCGCGAUACAGGGUGACAGCCCCGUACACAAAAAUGCACAUGCUGUGAGCUCGAUGAGUAGGGCGGGACACGUGGUAUCCUGUCUGAAUAUGGGGGGACCAUCCUCCAAGGCUAAAUACUCCUGACUGACCGAUAGUGAACCAGUACCGUGAGGGAAAGGCGAAAAGAACCCCGGCGAGGGGAGUGAAAAAGAACCUGAAACCGUGUACGUACAAGCAGUGGGAGCACGCUUAGGCGUGUGACUGCGUACCUUUUGUAUAAUGGGUCAGCGACUUAUAUUCUGUAGCAAGGUUAACCGAAUAGGGGAGCCGAAGGGAAACCGAGUCUUAACUGGGCGUUAAGUUGCAGGGUAUAGACCCGAAACCCGGUGAUCUAGCCAUGGGCAGGUUGAAGGUUGGGUAACACUAACUGGAGGACCGAACCGACUAAUGUUGAAAAAUUAGCGGAUGACUUGUGGCUGGGGGUGAAAGGCCAAUCAAACCGGGAGAUAGCUGGUUCUCCCCGAAAGCUAUUUAGGUAGCGCCUCGUGAAUUCAUCUCCGGGGGUAGAGCACUGUUUCGGCAAGGGGGUCAUCCCGACUUACCAACCCGAUGCAAACUGCGAAUACCGGAGAAUGUUAUCACGGGAGACACACGGCGGGUGCUAACGUCCGUCGUGAAGAGGGAAACAACCCAGACCGCCAGCUAAGGUCCCAAAGUCAUGGUUAAGUGGGAAACGAUGUGGGAAGGCCCAGACAGCCAGGAUGUUGGCUUAGAAGCAGCCAUCAUUUAAAGAAAGCGUAAUAGCUCACUGGUCGAGUCGGCCUGCGCGGAAGAUGUAACGGGGCUAAACCAUGCACCGAAGCUGCGGCAGCGACGCUUAUGCGUUGUUGGGUAGGGGAGCGUUCUGUAAGCCUGUGAAGGUGUGCUGUGAGGCAUGCUGGAGGUAUCAGAAGUGCGAAUGCUGACAUAAGUAACGAUAAAGCGGGUGAAAAGCCCGCUCGCCGGAAGACCAAGGGUUCCUGUCCAACGUUAAUCGGGGCAGGGUGAGUCGACCCCUAAGGCGAGGCCGAAAGGCGUAGUCGAUGGGAAACAGGUUAAUAUUCCUGUACUUGGUGUUACUGCGAAGGGGGGACGGAGAAGGCUAUGUUGGCCGGGCGACGGUUGUCCCGGUUUAAGCGUGUAGGCUGGUUUUCCAGGCAAAUCCGGAAAAUCAAGGCUGAGGCGUGAUGACGAGGCACUACGGUGCUGAAGCAACAAAUGCCCUGCUUCCAGGAAAAGCCUCUAAGCAUCAGGUAACAUCAAAUCGUACCCCAAACCGACACAGGUGGUCAGGUAGAGAAUACCAAGGCGCUUGAGAGAACUCGGGUGAAGGAACUAGGCAAAAUGGUGCCGUAACUUCGGGAGAAGGCACGCUGAUAUGUAGGUGAAGUCCCUCGCGGAUGGAGCUGAAAUCAGUCGAAGAUACCAGCUGGCUGCAACUGUUUAUUAAAAACACAGCACUGUGCAAACACGAAAGUGGACGUAUACGGUGUGACGCCUGCCCGGUGCCGGAAGGUUAAUUGAUGGGGUUAGCGCAAGCGAAGCUCUUGAUCGAAGCCCCGGUAAACGGCGGCCGUAACUAUAACGGUCCUAAGGUAGCGAAAUUCCUUGUCGGGUAAGUUCCGACCUGCACGAAUGGCGUAAUGAUGGCCAGGCUGUCUCCACCCGAGACUCAGUGAAAUUGAACUCGCUGUGAAGAUGCAGUGUACCCGCGGCAAGACGGAAAGACCCCGUGAACCUUUACUAUAGCUUGACACUGAACAUUGAGCCUUGAUGUGUAGGAUAGGUGGGAGGCUUUGAAGUGUGGACGCCAGUCUGCAUGGAGCCGACCUUGAAAUACCACCCUUUAAUGUUUGAUGUUCUAACGUUGACCCGUAAUCCGGGUUGCGGACAGUGUCUGGUGGGUAGUUUGACUGGGGCGGUCUCCUCCUAAAGAGUAACGGAGGAGCACGAAGGUUGGCUAAUCCUGGUCGGACAUCAGGAGGUUAGUGCAAUGGCAUAAGCCAGCUUGACUGCGAGCGUGACGGCGCGAGCAGGUGCGAAAGCAGGUCAUAGUGAUCCGGUGGUUCUGAAUGGAAGGGCCAUCGCUCAACGGAUAAAAGGUACUCCGGGGAUAACAGGCUGAUACCGCCCAAGAGUUCAUAUCGACGGCGGUGUUUGGCACCUCGAUGUCGGCUCAUCACAUCCUGGGGCUGAAGUAGGUCCCAAGGGUAUGGCUGUUCGCCAUUUAAAGUGGUACGCGAGCUGGGUUUAGAACGUCGUGAGACAGUUCGGUCCCUAUCUGCCGUGGGCGCUGGAGAACUGAGGGGGGCUGCUCCUAGUACGAGAGGACCGGAGUGGACGCAUCACUGGUGUUCGGGUUGUCAUGCCAAUGGCACUGCCCGGUAGCUAAAUGCGGAAGAGAUAAGUGCUGAAAGCAUCUAAGCACGAAACUUGCCCCGAGAUGAGUUCUCCCUGACUCCUUGAGAGUCCUGAAGGAACGUUGAAGACGACGACGUUGAUAGGCCGGGUGUGUAAGCGCAGCGAUGCGUUGAGCUAACCGGUACUAAUGAACCGUGAGGCUUAACCUU